GUGUCUUCACAAGGUUAGACCUCUCUUCAACUGCAUUGCUGUCUAGAGCCCUAGACUAAUGAGCUAGAGUUAAUGCCAAAGACAGCAAAUGGUUGACACCUUUACACAGAGCAGUUGCAUCUUGUAGUGAGGAAGCAGUUCAGGUACUUUUGAAGCAUUCUGCAGAUGUUAAUGCUCGAGACAAAAAUUGGCAAACCCCUUUACAUAUAGCUGCUGCUAAUAAAGCUGUAAAGUGUGCUGAAGCUUUGGUACCUCUGCUGAGUAAUGUAAAUGUAUCUGAUCGAGCAGGGAGGACUGCAUUACAUCAUGCAGCUUUCAGUGGACAUGGUGAGAUGGUCAAACUACUCUUGUCUAGAGGUGCCAAUAUUAAUGCUUUUGACAAGAAAGAUAGGCGUGCUAUCCAUUGGGCAGCAUAUAUGGGUCACAUUGAAGUAGUGAAAUUGCUUGUGUCGCAUGGAGCUGAAGUGACAUGCAAGGAUAAAAAGUCUUAUACACCUCUUCAUGCAGCAGCCUCUAGUGGAAUGAUCAGCGUAGUCAAGUACCUUCUAGAUCUUGGAGUUGAUAUGAAUGAACCAAAUGCCUAUGGAAAU
rnacentral:sRNA from 1 species